UUUUAAAGAAGUUGCAAGACUCCACAGCCUUCCGACACAGGACUUUGUGGUGCGAAAUGAUAUGGGAUGUGGAUCAACUAUAGGUCCAAUACUUGCUGCAGGAGUUGGAAUACGUACUGUUGAUUGUGGUAUUGCUCAGCUAUCCAUGCACAGCGUGAGAGAGAUAUGUGGAAAGGAAGAUGUGGAUAUUGCAUACAAGCACUUCAAGGCAUUUUACCAGUCAUUCUCAAGCAUAGACAGGAAGUUGAAUGUGGAUUGAUAAUUGAUGAAGUGAAAAACUUGGCCUUUUAGUUCACAACCCCUUAAUAGCAUAAUUUUUUUACUUGUUUUUUUCUCUUGGGAGUACAAUUGGUAGUAGACCUUUUAGCUAAGCACUUCGAUUUGAUUACUAAACUAG
rnacentral:misc_RNA from 1 species